rnacentral:hammerhead_ribozyme from 1 species
AUCUAGUUGACCAGUCCUAAAUAGAACGAAACGCGCUUCAAACUUGAU